AUGAGGGUAUAUUUAUGAUUUUAUUAACAAUAUAUAGACAAAUUGGAUAAUCUAAUAAUUUUUUUUAUAUGCUAGAAGGGUAUAAUGGUAAAAUUAUAAUAAAUUGGGGGUGUAAAUAUCUUUUUUAAAACAUUAGGGGAUUUUUAUCCCUUUGGUUAAACGUUGGGGGUGUGUUUAUCCUUUUCCCUUUGUGAAAUAACUAAAGAUUCCAAUGCAUGUUUGAAAUAUUGUUCUUGUGAUCGGUGGUCAUCCGUCUUGCUGAGCUGUAUGUCCAAAGGUGACAUUUGGCUGGAACGUGACUUUUCACUUUUAUAUUCGUUGACAAAGUUGUAUUCAUCGAUUAAAUCCAGGGGUAUUUACGGAGUGGGAACUCGAAAGUUUAAUAAAUAUUAAUUUAAUUUAUUAUAAUUACAGUUGAUGGGAUAAUUUUAAAUAGGAAAAAAUCUCUUUUCAUCUUUAGGGUUUGAAAAAACAGCACAUUUCAUCCUUACUUUUUAAACAAUAGCUUGUUUCAUCCUUAUUUUUUAAACAAUAGUCCAAAAUAACCUUCUAUAAAUUUACAAUUAGUUUACUCUAUAAUUUAUUGAGGACAAAAUAGGAUUUUCAGUUGAAUAA
rnacentral:lncRNA from 1 species